rnacentral:rRNA from 1 species
UUCUUGGAGAGUUUGAUCCUGGCUCAGGACGAACGCUGGCGGCGUGCCUAAUACAUGCAAGUCGAGCGAAUCAAUAGGAG